UGAAAACGGUGCGUUUUGGUUUGGAUAGAGUCAAGUUUGUGGCGAUUCAGAUUCCCAUCUCUCAACCUCAAUUUCUUCCCUCUCUCGAACAAAACCUCCCUCACCGGGAUUCGCUCCGCCGUGCCGGAGGCGACGGAGCUUGGCCAAAUCUGGAAAUUAUGACCUCGCUACAAACCUCUCUUCAUCCUCUAUCAGAAUCUCGCAUCGAUUUCGCCUGAAAGAGGCUCCCUCAUCCCAAAUCGAGAGAGGGAUUACAAACCCUAGUUUGUGCAAACCUCCCUAAUAGAGCGGAGUUUGAGCUAUUUGCGAGCGAUUAGCAAGGGAACGUGACAAACAAUAUGGAACAACACUAAAGCAGGGUAGAAUUGGAAGUUCGACGCGACUUGCCUACCAAAGAAGUUCCGGUGACUCUUCGACGGCUGGCGAAAUAAACGCGAGGAAUACUUCAAUUCAGGUUUGGUUUUGAUAGUUUUGGAAAUGGCUUUUCAACUGGAUCUGACUCGGCUGCGAACUAAGCUCGAGUGUGAACUGGAAUGCUGAAUGCUAGCAUGGAAUUUAUUGGCAAACUAUGAUGUGGAAAUUCAUAAUGUGACUCGGUGUUAACUUGAUGCAGUGCUACAAUUUAUGUGUUAAGUGGUGGACUGUUAGAAAAUUUGUUGAGAUGUUAGGCCUUUUUCUUUGAAUUGGUUGUUGUAUGUAUAAAGUACAUGGAUGAACUGAGAUGUUUGCAUUGAAUGAUGACAGGUUUCAUGAAGAAAAAGUGGAGAGGUUAAAGCUUGAUUUUGGUACUGAGUUUGAAGAUGAAGAGUGGUUUGUUAGAAAUGUUAGCUUGAAAGUGCAUUGGCAUGCAGGGGCAUCCUGAACUCAAAGGGAACACUUGAGAGAUUCAUCACUCAAAGGAGAUCCUACUGGAUCCUUCCCUGUUCUGAGGCAGCAGCACUUCCAUUUAUAUAUAUAUAUAUAUAUAUAUAUAUAUAUAUAUAUAUAUAUAUAUAUAUAUAUAUAUAUAUAUAUAUAUAUAUAUAUAUAUAUAUAUAUAUAUAUAUAUAUAUAUAUAUUUUGAUGUAAUUUCAGUUUCUUUCUCUUUUCAAUGUACAUGUACUUUGAUGAACCCUGGAUGUAAUUUGGCCUUGAGAAUGUAUUAUAUUUGAAACCUGUAAUGAGACUUGAGCUUGAACCAUGUAAUGUUCCUUUUCUUCAGAAUGAAUUUUGACUUUGGUGUCA